AGCCGGGUCCUGCGCAACGAAAAGGUUAUGAACCCCGUCAGGUCCGGAAGGAAGCAGCGGUAGUAGCUGGAUCGUGUGCCGCAGGAGUGCCUGGCUAUC
rnacentral:SRP_RNA from 1 species